GGGGCGAGCGCGGGAGGGCUGGGCAGGCUUCGGCCAGCGGGCCAGAAGUGAGGCCACGGCCGGCUAGCGUCCCCCUUUCCUUUUUGCUUUUUUUUGAAUUUUCUUUUCUCAAUUUUUUUUCUAAAUUCAUUUGGACUUCUUCAAAACCCUUUUCAGCCUUAGCUCCCAAAACAAAAGUUGUCACAAAUAAAAAGUUCUACA
rnacentral:lncRNA from 1 species